rnacentral:tRNA from 1 species
GCCUGGGUGGCUCAGUCCGUUAAGCGCCUGACUUCGGCUCAGGUCAUGAUCUCACAGUCCGUGAGUUCGAGCCCCACAUCAGGCU